UACGUAGGGGGCUAGCGUUGUCCGGAUUGAUUGGGCGUAAAGAGCGUGUAGGCGGUCAGGUAGGUCUGCUGUGAAAACUCGAGGCUCAACCUCGAGACGUCGGCGGAAACCAUCUGGCUAGAGUCCGGAAGAGGAGAGUGGAAUUCCUGGUGUAGCGGUGAAAUGCGCAGAUAUCAGGAAGAACACCCGUGGCGAGGGCGGCUCUCUGGGACGGUACUGACGCUGAGACGCGAAAGCGUGGGGAGCGAACAGG
rnacentral:rRNA from 1 species